rnacentral:ncRNA from 1 species
UAAAAAUUUAUUAUAGUUUGAAAAAUUUAUUUAAAGUUUAUUUUACAUAUAAAUUUUAGUGUUAAUUUUAAUUUAUUUUAAUAAUAAAUUAUUAUUGAUAAUUAGUAAUUAAUAUUAAAAUAUUUAAGAAAUUAAUAUUUAGUAAUAUUUAAAUUAAUAACUAAUUUUGUGCCAGCAGUUGCGGUUAAACAAAAAUUAAAUUAAAUUUUAUUAGUAAUUAAUUAAUAAAAUUUAAUAUAAUUUAAAUUUUAAAUUAUUAGGUGAAAUUUUAAUUUAAUAAAAAAUUAUAUAAAAUUUAUGAUUUAAUAAAUUUUUUUUAAAAACUAGGAUUAGAUACCCUAUUAUUAAAAAUUUAAAUUAAAAUACUAAAAUAGUAAAUAAUUAUUUAUUGAAACUUAAAUAAUUUGGCGGUAUUUUAGUUCAUUUAGAGGAAUCUGUUUAAUAAUUGAUAAUCCACGAAUAAAUUUACUUAAUUUACAAUUUUGUAUAUCGUUGUUAAAAAAAUAUUUUUUAAUAAAAAUAAUAUUUAAAAAUUAAUAAUAAAAUUAAAUCAGAUCAAGAUGCAGAUUAUAAUUAAGAAUAUAAUGGAUUACAAUAAAUUUAUUUAAAUGAAUAUUAAUUUGAAAAAAUUAAUUGAAAUUGGAUUUAAAUGUAAUUUUAUUUAGUUUAAUAAAAUGAUUUUAAAUUGAAAUAUGUACAUAUUGCCCGUCGCUUUCAUAUAUUAAUAAGUUGGAAUAAGUCGUAACAAAGUAGAGGUACUGGAAAGUGUUUCUAGAAAGAC